CAGCCUGAUGAGCACGCCGCGUGGGGGAUGAAGGCCUUCGGGUUGUAAACCCCUUUUAGCAGGGAAGAAGCGAAAGUGACGGUACCUGCAGAAAAAGCGCCGGCUAACUACGUGCCAGCAGCCGCGGUAAUACGUAGGGCGCAAGCGUUGUCCGGAAUUAUUGGGCGUAAAGAGCUCGUAGGCGGUUUGUCGCGUCUGCUGUGAAAGUCCGAGGCUCAACCUCGGAUCUGCAGUGGGUACGGGCAGACUAGAGUGUGGUAGGGGAGACUGGAAUUCCUGGUGUAGCGGUGGAAUGCGCAGAUAUCAGGAGGAACACCAAUGGCGAAGGCAGGUCUCUGGGCCAUAACUGACGCUGAGGAGCGAAAGCGUGGGGAGCGAACAGGAUUAGAUACCCUGGUAGUCCACGCCGUAAACGGUGGGCACUAGAUGUGGGGCUCUUUCCAUGAGUUCCGCGUCGCAGCUAACGCAUUAAGUGCCCCGCCUGGGGAGUACGGCCGCAAGGCUAAAACUCAG
rnacentral:rRNA from 1 species